AUUUUAUAAUAUUCAUUUAGAUUCUAGUUCACCCUACACUCUGCCCUUACAUUUUUCCAAAAGUCGCAACAUUUGUAAAGUUAUUACCAUUUUAUACAAGUAUAUUGCAUAGCAAGCGAAUAAUAUUAGAAUCUUAUUAACUCCAAAUUCCAAAUCGAUUUACCAUGUGGAUAUUACGUUUACGUAACGAGAUGACAAGCUAUUGUUCAACUGAAUUGAAAAACUGGACUCGUGAGACAAAACGUUGGGAAAGCUUAGGAAAGGCAAUGAUUGGCAUUUUAGCCAAACUGCCUAUGCGUAAUAACUCUCAGCCAGAAUUUGUACGUCUUUACACAAGUGCGCCGAGUGAUCUGUAAUGCAGUCAAGACUUAUGUGAUUUUCAAAAUAAACAUGUUGACAUUAAUGCCCUCAUCAGGGUGUUUGGUCGCGGUCGAACCAUAAUUAUACCGCCGCUAACAAGACCUCAAACCGUACUCGGCUAAUCAUUCGCAUUCAUAUUGCACAGCUGCCAGCAAAUAUGCAACAGAGUGGCGCAUGCCACGCCCACAAAACACAUGCAGCACGCAUCUAAUUUUGCAUAACGGAGCUGGAGUCAAAGUUGAAGUCGAAGUUCUUGUCAUUAUCGCGAUGCAUGCAAAUUAAGCAGUGCGUGUGCCUUACCCCAAACCCAAAUGACUUCUUGGUCACGGUUCCAUGUAAUUUGUGGGCGUAACGCAACAGACACGCCCCCAAGCUAUUUGUUUAGCCGCCAGCUGAUGGAAAACUCAGAGCUCUGAGCUGCUUUCUAGUCAAGUGUUGCAUAUAAAAGACGGUCUGGCUAAUGACAAGCGACACGUACGUGCCAAUAGCCAUUUGUAUCUAUUUGUCAUGCCUAUUCCCCUACCCUCUGGCGACCAUCCCACUGCCCACUUCAGCCUGGCCCCGAUCCCGCUCAGUGAACAUAAACAACACUUUGAUUUAAUUAACGUUACAUUGACCAAUUUUGGGCGCAAGCUGGGCACCAAAAACGCUCAGAGAACAAGAGAGAGUGGAGUGGAGUGGAGUGGAGUGGAGUGAAGAGGAUGAGCAGGUGGAAGAGAAGCCAUGGAGCUGCCACCAAUGCAGUCAUUACCAUCAUUAAGGCAAUAUCAUUUCCAGGCCUCUCUGGUCGCUUGGUAUGGCCGGAGCGCAUUUCCCAGAAAUGCAUUAGCCCCGCUCCAAUAUGGUCUAAUAAUUCAUGCCACAUAAUAUAAUUAUGGUCCGGUGCGCAGCUCCAUGGCAGACGGUAUGGCACGGUACUGACCAUGGCCACAACUGGUCCACAGACAGAGCUACUGUAUCUCGAAUAUGAUUGAUAUCUGUGCGCUGCAGGCAACGCGCAUUCAUCUUCACUUAGUUAUGUCAGUCAUUUAUGGCAGCAGCCGGCAACGCGAAAUGGAGCACAUGUCUCAAAAUGAUGAUGAAAUGUGCACAUUUUCUAGGAAUUUUCAAGCAGCAAGCAGCAAACGAUCGAAACGCACUUUGUAUCGCCAAUGGAGCUGCAAUGGCACUGGCCGCAGAUCUCCACUGUUUUAGUCAGAGUUUGUGUCUUGAGACCGCGACCGAGACCGAGGCUGAGGCCGAGUCUGACCAUCGCCAGCAUUGACUAUGCAACUCAUUCCGUUUGCCCAAGUUGGUCAUCGUCAACGGGCCAUAAUGAGUUGCCGCCAGUGGAGGCAGUUGGAGCUCUACCUCUAGCUGUUGCCUGUCUGUCAGCUGUUGACAGCCGUGGCAUGUCAACAUGCUAAAAUGUAAAACAUUCAACGAGGCAUUGAUUAAAAUUGUUUUCCUAUACAAAUUAAAUAAAUAAAGUGUUAGCAUUUAGGAAUACCUCGAA